CCUGUCCCGCCAACUCUGUUGUUGGCGCAUAUUGGGGUGCUGUUGCUGGAGUGUAUGUAGGCAUGGAGUAUGGAGUGGAAAGGGUCCGCGGAGAGUAUGACUGGAUGCGGCAGCUCAAGGGCGAGGUCGACAUCUUCUCCAGGGCCGACGGGUCGGCGCUGUUCGAGAUGGGCAACACCAGGGUCAUCGCCGCCGUCUACGGCCCC